rnacentral:rRNA from 1 species
UAGGUGAAAGAUUUAUUGCCUGAGGAUGAGCUCGCGUCUGAUUAGCUAGUUGGUGGGGUAAUGGCUCACCAAGGCGACGAUCUGUAGCUGGUCUGAGAGGAUGACCAGUCACACUGGGACUGAGACACGGUCCAGACUCCUACGGGAGGCAGCAGUGGGGAAUUUUCCGCAAUGGGCGAAAGCCUGACGGAGCAANACCGCGUGAGGGAUGAAGGCUCUUGGGUUGUAAACCUCUUUUNUCAGGGAAGAAAAAUNUGACUGUACCUGAAGAAUAGCCUCGGCUAACUCCGUGCCAGCAGCCGCGGUUAUACAGAAGANGCACGCNUUCUCCGGAUUUAUUGGGCGUAAAGCCUCC